GAUUUAUAAAUUAAUUUAGAUGUCUUAAUUAUUUGUAAACAAAUAAUUAUCAUGUCACAAGAGAUGUAUAUUAAAGUGUAGUUCUGUUGCAUAUUUAAUAUUUAUCUAUUUUACUUGUUGGAAGUAUUGUGCUAAUGUCCGUACCCACUAAUAUUUGAGUUUGGGAUGUUACAGGUGGUAUCAAAGUACACGUUCCUUGGAACCAUCCCUUGUAACAUGAGGUAUAAGAACUUUAGGAGGCGUACGACAAACAUAAUUUAGGAGAAUGACUCUUAAGAAAUGAUUUGGACUUUCUUUGAAACAUUUUUCAAAUGAAAAUAGGAGAACAAUAUUCUACAAACCUAACGAUAUAAACC
rnacentral:lncRNA from 1 species